rnacentral:rRNA from 1 species
CUCCUGGAAACGGGUGGUAAUGCCGGAUGCUCCGCCCCCUCGCAUGGGGGGUCGGGAAGGCUUUUGCGGAGUGGGAUGGGGUCGCGUCCUAUCAGCUUGUUGGCGGGGCGACGGCCCACCAAGGCUUCGACGGGUAGCCGGCCUGAGAGGGCGACCGGCCACAUUGGGACUGAGAUACGGCCCAGACUCCUACGGGAGGCCGCAGUGGGGAAUAUUGCACAAUGGGGGGAACCCUGAUGCAGCGACGCCGCGUGCGGGAUGGAGGCCUUCGGGUCGUGAACCGCUUUUGAUUGGGAGCAAGCGUGAGUGAGUGUACCUUUCGAAUAAGCACCGGCUAACUACGUGCCAGCAGCCGCGGUAAUACGUAGGGUGCAAGCGUUGUCCGGAAUCAUUGGGCGUAAAGGGCUCGUAGGCGGUUCGUCGCGUCCGGUGUGAAAGCCCAUCGCUUAACGGUGGGUCUGCGCCGGGUACGGGCGGGCUUGAGUGCGGCAGGGGAGGCUGGAAUUCCCGGUGUAACGGUGGAAUGUGUAGAUAUCGGGAAGAACACC